rfam:Gossypium raimondii chromosome 6, whole genome shotgun sequence.
GGGUGCGAUCAUACCAGCACUAACGCACCGGAUCCCAUCAGAACUCCGUAGUCAAGCGUGCUUCGGCGAGAAUAGUACUAGGAUGGGCAACCUUUUGGGAAGUCCUUGUGUUGCACCCC